rnacentral:misc_RNA from 1 species
UUGCUUUUCGUUUAUCAUUUGUUCAGACUUCAUGAUACGUUUGGGUUUGUGACCGGCCGCGGGGUACCUCCCCGAGUUAACGGGGGCCUCCCCCAGGGCCGAAGCGAUGUGAGUUGCUUGCGCGUCUCAUGACAAAGGGCGGGUGGCGGGCGCGAGGCCCAGACCCAGUAAUGAUCCUUCCGCAGGUUCACCUACGGAAA